rnacentral:lncRNA from 1 species
CAUGUAAUCCUCAAAGUUUUCACUGGAGACCAGCUUCCAGGUUCCCAAGAAGGGCUCAACCAUCAUGGAACACUUGCUGAGAAGAGCCACUCGUAAUUGAAAACCAAAGAAAUAUAGGCAUUACGGUGCUGCCAGUAGUUUAAUUUAAAGAGCGUCUUCAUCACGUGACUCUUCUGAAAUGGCCAAUGGGCAACAGCAGCAAGACUAAAGAUUCUAGGCACCAGCAUUUGACUCAUUUUAUUUACCUCCAAAUUAAGAGACAGAAAAUUAGCAUGUAAAAUUAAAUUCUGGUCAAUGAUUUUAGCUUCUAGCAAAAAGAUUUACACCCAAGUCACCUGACAAAUAUUACUUGUGGAACGGAGACAAUCUUCAAUAGACAUCAGCUUUUUGAACAAUGAAUACUGAGUCAACCCUGGAGGAAUAUCCUGACAAAUUGAUAAACACCUGGCUGAGAUGUUUUCCUACCUAAGACAAGAAAUCCUUGCUUGGUCCACCUCAGCUGUUUUUUGUUUGGGGCACUAAUAUACACAUGAUGAUACUUAAUUCUCUCAGAAAACCUUUGGCAAAGACACUUUCUACAUCUUGAAGGCAAGGAAUCUGAAUCUUGAAGAGAUUAAAUGAAUUGUCCAAAGUCACGUGGGGGUUUGGGAGAAGGAAAAUCAUGAACACACAUUCUUCUACUCUGGAGAAGUGGGGAAGGUGACCUGGGAAACCAUCUGAAAGGGAGCAGGAUGGAUUCUAUAAAAUAUAGAGUGUUCAAUGAAAACAACCUGAUGCUCCUCCCAGUACCAUCACAUUUUUCUAGCUGCAUAUCCUUAGGAACCACAUUCUACUUGUGUAGGAGCUGCGACAGUAACCAACUCAUCCUGCCCUACUCACAGUAUAGCAUCUUUAGGCAUUGACUACAAUCAGCCAAGUCACCGGCUGAGGGGAAGAACAAGAACCAACCUUGAACUAUGAUCUAAGACAAGUUCCUCAAGAACUCUGUAGGAGUCAUCAUUACCUCAUUUAGUCUCCUCAGCAACAAAUAAGAGAAAUAUUAUCUCCAUUUUACAGAAGCACAGACUGCAGAGAUUGAGUUCCCCCAGGAGCACACAAGCUGUACUGUACCUAAGGUCCUAAAACAUAUUGGUGAUAUGGAAGGUAGACAAAAUGGCCAAAUAGAAGCCUUCACCCAUUGUUCUCCCUGCAGAAACACUAAAUUGAACAACUAUCCACACAUAAAUCACCUUCAUAUGAAGCAAAAAUCAGCCACAUUAAACAAUGAUGAGUUCAAAUGGAAACAUACAGCCUUUCAACACUGGCUCCAAGAGAUGGCAUCUAGAAGAAACAGACUGAUUCUGCAGAGUUCUGAAGGGAGCAGGUGACUUAGCAAUUCUGUCUUCAGUUUCUCUGUGAACAUCAUCAAUGUUUUCCUGUGCUCCAGUUGUCAAACUUCAUCAGCGAAAUGUUGGGGUCAUUUAAAGCUGCUGCUUUGCAUUCACUGAAACGACUAACAACCACAAGGAAACAUGAUUUCUCCGACAGCAAUGAAUAAAACAAUUGCCUGACUAAAGAGGAGAUAUCCUCUUUAGAUAAAACGACUGAAGACCCAUUACCAAAAUAGGGAAAAAGAAACAAUCUCUAUGAAAGAGUUUCAAAUAAAAAUAUGUAGGUGCUUUGGA